rnacentral:rRNA from 1 species
UAGUCCACGCCGUAAACGAUGAGUGCUAGAUGUCGGAAACAUAGUUUUCGGUUUCGCAGCUAACGCAUUAAGCACUCCGCCUGGGGAGUACGAUCGCAAGAUUAAAACUCAAAGGAAUUGACGGGGGCUCGCACAAGCGGUGGAGCAUGCGGUUUAAUUCGAUGCUACGCGAAAAACCUUACCAACCCUUGACAUGGUGGUCGCGGGUCUUAGAGAUAAGACUCUUCAGUUUGGCUGGACCACACACAGGUGUUGCAUGGCUGUCGUCAGCUCGUGUCGUGAGAUGUUGGGUUAAGUCCCGCAACGAGCGCAACCCUCAUCCUUAUUUGCCAGCGGCUUGGCCGGGGACUAUAAGGAAACUGCCCACGCAAGUAGUGAGGGAAGGUGGGGGAUGGACGUCAAGUCAUCAUGGCCCUUACGUCCUGGGGCUACACACGUGCUACAA